UUUAUGUAACUGGUGAAACAAAAAUCAAAAGAUAGUAAAUCCUUAGAAUAAUUAUGUUUUCUCCAAUCUCAGUGAGUUAUAUCUUGAUUUCAUUUUUAUUAUAUCUAUAGUUUGUAUCUUAAUCAGUGUAACUCAGAAGUAUCAGAUAGAGAUCUCAAACCAAAAAUCACCAAGUGCUUUGUUUCAGAGCUGGGGUGUCUGCCCUGGAAAUAAGUUCCCAGACCUUAGAUGAGAUUGGAAAAGACAUUGCCCAGAAGAGUUCCCCCAAAAUGGUCUUUUUGGUGUUCAGAAAAAUCUCCAGUAAUACCAGACUAGAAGCUGCCUUCAAGCCCUGU